rnacentral:misc_RNA from 1 species
ACUGCGGAGGAUCAUUACAGUGAAACGUAAGCGGGGGANGGCAGCUGCGCACGUGCGCGCCCCUNGNCCGUGACGCAUCCACUUACACCUGUGCACCUGUCGGCGAGUGCCCUUUGGGANNAGGGGCCUCGCCGCCCUUACAACCGCUCCUGAUACCGACGCAUGUUUGAAACCCCACGGGGUGAAGCAAAGUACAACUUUCAACAACGGAUCUCUUGGCUUUUGCAUCGAUGAAGAACGCCGCGAAAGUGCGAAACGUAAUGUGAAUUGCAGAAUUCAGUGAAUCAUCGAAUCUUUGAACGCAUCUUGCGCUCCUUGGUAUUCCGAGGAGCAUGCCUGUUUGAGUGUCGUGUGAAACCUCAAAGCCCUCCCUUUUGACCGAGGGAAGGCUUUGGACUUGGACGUGUGCGGCUGGUGGCCGCUCGUCUCUAAAUGCAUUAGCUUGGUCCCCUCGGAUGACGACGGUGUGAUAAUAGACGUCUCGUUGAACUGUGGCGCCGUCAGAGUCUAAUGGAGGGGACGGCCGACAGCCGUCCUUUGCGGACAAUUCAAGUGUAUGACCUCAAAUCAGGUAGGACUACCCGCCGA